ensembl:lncRNA
CUCAUGUCUGCUUGCGGGUAGUGGACAAGCAGUUUUUCCCUCUGAACUAGACACGGAGACCCCUCUGGCCUCAUCUCCCACCUCCUAGGGCCCAGACUGGGUGCUCCCGGGACUGAGCCUGGCUGCUCAUCCCCCGGCCCCAGGGCCCUCCGUGCAUGCUGAAAGAGAGAAGGAGGGAAGCGUUCUCAUUCGCUGGAGCUGGUCUGCUCUUCCAGGAAGCCUUCCUGGAUUGGUGGGACCUCACUAUUCGGAGAGUGUUCCACAAGUGGCAGCAACGGCACGACCUGGGAGCUUGCGGAAAUGCAGGAUCUUAACAAGGGGGUCCCCAGGGGUCCACACGGACACGACACCUGAGAAUUAUCACGUUAGGUUACCCUUGUAGUCCAGUCCCUCAAAAGAUGGAGAUUCUGGGUCAGCUGGUAACAGGCUGACGGGGCACAGCAGAGAGAGCAUUUCAAAUUCUGUGGGUGAUGAAGCAGACCCCGCUCCCGUCUUCCAACCUGAUCCCCACAUUCGUAACAGCCUCUCCAGCUGACGGGAGCUGGACAAGCGAGAACUCCCCCUGGAAGCCCUCACUGUGCGACUUGGUCAGCAGAGACAGUGGGCUGUCCCAGGCCACGCCGUUCUGGUCUGCCCUGUUCCAGGAGGGUCCCUGCCUGGGAUUCCAGAAUCUGCCUUCGAAACUAAGCUUCAACACCUGAGUGUUGCCCAGACGGGCUCUCUGCAACGCUGGGGUUCUGUGUUGGGGGGGUCUUCAUGUCACCCCUCUCCCCUCUCUUCCUCUCUCUGCUGCAAUGCACGUUAGCACGUUAAAGCUUCGGGAAUCACAAGUCAAGAAAACCAGCUGGUUGAGACCGGCCCAGUGGCCCAGCAGUUAAGUUUGCACGUUCCACUCCGGCGGCCCGGGGUUCGCUGGUUGGGAUCCCGGGCGUGGACCUACACACCGCUCAUCAAGCCAUGCUGUGGCAGGCGUCCCACAUAUAAAGUAGAGGAAGAUGGGCAUGGAUGUUAGCUCAGGGCCAAUCUUCCUCAAAAAAGAAAAAAAAAAAAAGAAAAAAGAAAACCAGCUGUUCAACCUCAUUUAGCCCAGAGUUUCCAAAACUUAGACAUCCUUUGUCACUUAGCACCUGUGAACAUCCUGUGGGGAUAACUGGGAAAUGCUCCUCUGAUUCCCUUCUGCUGACACACUCACACACACACAGAUACGUCAGCUGCUAAGACUUUCAUGUGUGGCUCCCUGGUGCUAAGGAGCCCUUUUCUGAGGGGAGAAGCUGAGUGUGGUGGUGUUGGAAGGGGGGCUGCUGGAGCUGCUCUUCCAAAGCCCUUCUGGACAGUGGCCGUGUGGGGUGCCCAGCGUCACCUCACCCAGGGGCCGUGGGCAGGUGGGCCUCAGCAGCUUCCAUUUUGAACCUCCAAAAUCCACAUGGAGUCCCAGGGCUGGUGUCCCUGUGUCCUGAUGGCCUUUGUAAAACAGGGUGUGAUCCCCACCCGGAAAGGGAUGGGUGGGGAAGAGGCACCCCAGCAGAUCCAGCAGCUGUCCCGGGCGUCUGCAGGAAACCCCGUGCCUUGUCCACCUGCAGGGAGUGUGGCAGCCGCUGGAGGAGGUUUCCAGCCAAACCCUAGCCUGGGCUUGUGCUGACUCUGUGGUUAGAUGGAAGGUGGAACUGGCAGGGCCGGUUCUGACAGCCUGACUCACCAGCUUCUUCGGCCCCCUGCCUCUCGCCACGGGCACAGUGUGGUGUGGGAAUGCAUGCAGGAAUGCCAGACUGUGGGCUCCCAGCCCUGGCCGGGGCGCUGGGUGGGCUGGGGCUGAGGCUGGAGCUAAUGGAGAUCCGGGGAGCCUGUGGGCUUGGGAAAAGGAGACUCUGAGAGUCCUGCUGCUCGGAGAAUCAUCAGAUGUCAGCACAGAGUGGCCGGACUGGACCAGACCCCAACACCCCAUGUUAGCAGAAAGGAAACCGGUGGGAAGCCUUUCCCAAGGCCAGACAUCGACUCCUGGCAAGAGCUGGGAUUUCCUGACAAUGCAAACAAACCACCCACUGUGUGGCUCAGGCUUGUUUUAAACAUCACGGAGCCCUGAGCAGAAGGGAAGGCCCAGGGCCAUGCUGGGAAGCCGGCGAGAAGCUCCGAGGGCAGCCACAAGAGGUCUGAAGCUUGCUACGACAAGUAAAGAUCAAAUCAGAAGCUGAACGCCCUGAGGCUUUGAAAGAUAGAGAGUGAUUUGUGGCCCCUCCAGUGAAAAGGCUGCUGCCAUUGUUAACAACCUCUGUUCCCGCUUUCUCCGCCAUGCUGGGUGCCGGAGCGCACUGUGUUCCAAGAAGUGAUGCCCGACCAUCUCCAGAGCAGCGUGGACUCCAGGGCGGGCAACGGGCCUCUGCCACAUCACCUGCAGAGCCGACGGGAGGAAACGGCUCCGAGGCCCAGGGCAGGUAGACUCGGGCAGCCUGGGCCUGGGGUCUGGAAGACUCGGCCUCCAGGACGUGAUUCGUUGCUCUGGCCGCGGCUUCCGGCUGCUCCCGGUGCCCCCAGUUUGGCCUCACCCUCUGCUCCUGGGCCCCAGGCCCUCCCACUCUCACUGGCCCGUCCUCGGAGGGGCCAGAAGGGCCUGCCGCCCUCUCGGCCAGGGAUGGCUGAGCGCAGGCCUUCGUAGCCCUCUGGCAGGCCUGCACAUUGAAUGCACUCACAUCCCAAAGAGAAUCGAAUUUCUUUACCAUUCCUUGUAAUUUCCUGGUAAUCACAUCACACGGGGGAACUUCCAGGAAGUGGACGACUAAGAUAAACAUGGUUUCCAAAUGUUGUAAACACAAUGUUGUAAAAGAUGCAACGAUGAUAGGGACGUAACAGCGUGUUCUGCCCUGUGCACGGUCACUUGACGGACAGACACCCGGCAGUGACCCGGACACACAGUGGUCACGGACAAAUCUCACAGACACGAGCUCAGGAAGCCAGACACAAAACAGACGCACU